UACGGGGGGGGCAAGCGUUGUUCGGAAUUACUGGGCGUAAAGGGCUCGUAGGUGGCCAACUAAGUCAGACGUGAAAUCCCUCGGCUUAACCAAGGAAGUGCAUCCGAAACUGCAGAGCUUGAGUACUUAAGAGGAUCGCGGAAUUCCCGGUGUAGAGGUGAAAUUCGUAGAUAUCGGGAGGAACACCAGUGGCGAAGGCGGCGAUCUGGGAAGAUACUGACGCUGAGGUGCGAAAAGCGUGGGGAGCAAACAGG
rnacentral:rRNA from 1 species